CAAAAUCUUCAAAAAGCUGUAAUAAGCCUCCCGUACUGAGCACUCUUCAUUCUACCAAUCAUCUCAUCCCCCUCUCCAAAUCUCGCAACCUGAUACCAACUCUUAAUCAAAACAAGAAACGUAGUCUCAUCAGGAUUACAACCCAUUCCCCCAUCCUGUAGAAUAAAUUCAACGCAUCCUGAGUUUUCCUAAUCUUGCAUUGAUUAUUGAUUAAGACAUUGAAUGAUUCCACAUUUCUUGGAACUCCACGAGUGUCCAUUUCUAC
rnacentral:misc_RNA from 1 species